UACAGAGGUCUCAAGCGUUGUUCGGAUUCAUUGGGCGUAAAGGGUGCGUAGGUGGCGCCAUAAGUCAGGUGUGAAAUCUCCGGGCUUAACUCGGAAAGGUCAACUGAUACUGUGCGACUAGAGUGCGGAAGGGGCAACUGGAAUUCUUGGUGUAGCGGUGAAAUGCGUAGAUAUCAAGAGGAACACCUGCGGCGAAGGCGGGUUGCUGGGCCGACACUGACGCUGAGGCGCGAAAGCCAGGGGAGCGAACGGG
rnacentral:rRNA from 1 species